CGAGCACGCGCGUGUGGCAUAUCAAUAAGCGGAGGAAAAGAAACUAACAAGGAUUCCCUUAGUAACGGCGAGUGAAGCGGGAAGAGCUCAAAUUUGAAAUCUUCAAGGUUUUACCUUGACGAAUUGUAGUUUAAAGAAGUGUUUUCUGUUGAAGUUUCGGUAAAAGUUCUUUGGAAUAGGACAUCAUAGAGGGUGAGAAUCCCGUAUUUGACCGUUAUUUUCAGCUGUGUGAUACACUUUCAAAGAGUCGGAUUGUUUGGGAAUGCAGUCCAAAAUGGGUGGUAAAUUUCAUCUAAAGCUAAAUAUUGGCGAGAGACCGAUAGCGAACAAGUACCGUGAGGGAAAGAUGAAAAGAACUUUGAAAAGAGAGUUAAACAGUACGUGAAAUUGUCAAAAGGGAAGCGUUUGACACCAGUGUUGUUUUCUCGAAAAUCAAUUCAUGAUGGCUUGAUGCUAGGUUGUUAUGACUUUAUCAGCAUACUGUCUAGUUUUCUUGUCUUUGUGAAUGCACUUUUCGUUUAACAAGUCAACAUCAAUUUCUUUUGUUGUAAAAGGGUAAGAGGAAGGUGGCUUGCAGCUUCGGCUGCAAGUGUUUAUAGCCUUUUAUCCUCUGCAGUCGGAGAGAUUGAGGUCUGCAGCGUAGACUCUUCGGGGUUAGAUACAUUGGUGCUAAGCUAUAGCCUUGUAUAGACAACUUGUUGACUAUGUUAGUCUUGUAGCUUACUCGCUUAUGCUAUUUUACCUACGCUUAGGAUGUUGAGCGCAUGUCUCUCUCU
rnacentral:rRNA from 1 species